rnacentral:lncRNA from 1 species
AUUUUUCUUCGAUUGAACUUCCCCCACCUUUAUUGACUGGGUUUAUUCAAAGGGAACCUGCAAUUUUGGUUUCAUGACUGUUUAAUUUAUUCCUUUACCAUACUUGGCACAAAUCGUGUACCAUUGAUUGUUUUUCUUAAAUAACUUUUAUGUACUUACCUCUUUUGUGCUUUUUUGAAAGGUUUUCUACCCAGUUCUCUUUCCUUAACUUAUUUUCACCAGUUGGAAUCAGAAUCCCUUAAACAAGGGAGUCUGAUUUCAGUGAUAUCUUCUUUCCUUCUUGAUUUUGUUUUUCUACACUAUAAAAGGGGUUGCCCCUUCUGUACUUUACACAGUCAAUUUGACACGAUCAGUUCUGAUUACUUUCACUGAAUACUCUCAAAUACACGUAGAAUUUUUCACAAACACUUGAAUUCUCUGAACUCGCAAGCAUAAAGGUUUUUCUCUGAUUGUGUCUUUGCGUGAAAGAAUACUUCUUUUCUUUGGUAACUUUUCUGCAACAGGUAUGUUCUUAUGUUUAAUUCAUGCCUCUCCCCCUAUGGGUUUAUUCUAUAGUCUAUUCCUUUUUUGAUUUACUGUCUACAUGCUGUAACUUUCUGCAAAUUCUACUUUCAUUGUUCCUGUUCUUAUAUGCAUCCCAAACCUUAAUCCCCUCAAUGUGUUUAUGGUUCAAAAACAUGGCAAUACUUGAUAUUAUUAUCCAUGGACAUGAACUGGACUCUCUUGAGUCCUAAACUCUUUUAAUUCCCAUCCUUAUUCCCCUUUAUAUGUAUGCUGAGUUUGAUACUUUGGUCUGACAGCGUCCUAAUCACUGUCCAGGCCCAAGUCUAACCUUCAAUAGAUCCUUACUCCUAUUUGAUUGGCUGACAGGUUGGUCAGCGGUGUGCCAGCCUACCAUAUGGUUGGGCAUCCCUAAACCCUUCUAUUGCACUUGCACUUGUUCCUAGAAUCUUCUUGUGAGCCUUGCCUUGGGACCCAUGAGCUCCUUCUGAACUUGGAUACUCAAGGGCUGGCCCUUCCACACUGCACUUUGAUUCAUUCAAAUUGAUAUUUGGGAUGUAAGCACUGCCUGGAGUUCCUGAAACUCCUUGGAACAUUGAAACACCCUAGAUAAGAGAAGGCUUUGGAAAUCUCAUCUCAUAUUGUUAGACACUAAGUUUGAAUUAGGUCUCUCGUAUGUAGCUGUAGUUUCUGAUGUACUUUUAAUUUUCAAUUUGGCUUAUCG